rnacentral:rRNA from 1 species
AUACGGAGGGUGCAAGCGUUAUCCGGAAUCAUUGGGUUUAAAGGGUCCGUAGGCGGGCUAUAAGUCAGAGGUGAAAUCCCACAGCUCAACUGUGGAACUGCCUUUGAUACUGAUAGUCUUGAGUUACAGUGAAGUAGAUAGAAUAUGUAGUGUAGCGGUGAAAUGCAUAGAUAUUACAUAGAAUACCGAUUGCGAAGGCAGUCUACUAACUGUAUACUGACGCUGAUGGACGAAAGCGUGGGGAGCGAACAGGAUUAGAAACCCUAGUAGUCC